rnacentral:lncRNA from 1 species
UCUUGUUCAAGGCACUGCAACACUUUUAAAAAAUAAUUUUUUUGUUCCAUGUGCAGUCCAGACUGGCUCAAACUCAUGGCAGUCCUCCACCUCAGCCUUCCAAGUGCCGGGAUUAUGGGUGUGCAUCGCCGCACCCCAAUAAAGCACAGCAAUUCACAGGUGGUCUCCCUGUCUCGAGACAGCAGGCCUGAACUUUGGUUAAAAGAGCAUCAAAAAGUCAGCUGUCCUUCACAAACAAAGGGAAGAUUCUGGUAGAGAUACCCCAACUACUCCACACUUAGCAUUAAAUUCUUAUGGCCACAGUGUCUAGCCUGACAUGGAGACUGGGAACUCCACAUUUCUCUCAGCCC